AUUCCUACGGGAGGCAGCAGUGGGGAAUUUUGGACAAUGGGCGAAAGCCUGAUCCAGCCAUUCCGCGUGCAGGAUGAAGGCCUUCGGGUUGUAAACUGCUUUUGUACGGAACGAAAAGGUGAUCUCUAAUACAGGUUGCUGAUGACGGUACCGUAAGAAUAAGCACCGGCUAACUACGUGCCAGCAGCCGCGGUAAUAAU
rnacentral:rRNA from 1 species